rnacentral:rRNA from 1 species
UUGGAGGGCAAGUCUGGUGCCAGCAGCCGCGGUAAUUCCAGCUCCAAUAGCGUAUAUUAAAGUUGUUGCAGUUAAAAAGCUCGUAGUUGAAUUUCGGGGUUAGUAGGCUGGUCGUGCCACAGGUAUGCACUGGUCUUACUGAUUCCUCCUUCCUGAUGAACCGUAAUGCCAUUAAUUUGGUGUUGCGGGGAGUCUGGACUGUUACUUUGAAAAAAUUAGAGUGUUUAAAGCAAGCUAACGCUUGAAUACAUUAGCAUGGAAUAACGAAAUAGGACGUUCGAUCCUAUUUUGUUGGUUUCUAGGAUUGACGUAAUGAUUAAUAGGGAUAGUUGGGGGCAUUAGUAUUCAAUUGUCAGAGGUGAAAUUCUUGGAUUUAUUGAAGACUAACUACUGCGAAAGCAUUUGCCAAGGAUGUUUUCAUUAAUCAAGAACGAAAGUUAGGGGAUCGAAGACGAUCAGAUACCGUCGUAGUCUUAACCAUAAACUAUGCCGACUAGGGAUCGGAUGAUGUUAAUUUUUUAAUGACUCAUUCGGCGCCUUACGGGAAAC